GCAGUGGUGGUUCAGUGGUAGAAUCCUCUCGCCUUCCAUGCAGGUGACCCAGGUUCAAUUCUUGGCCAGGGCA
rnacentral:tRNA from 1 species